UAUAAUGUAAAUAUUAAUAAAUGUUUUAUCUAUCUAUCUCUCGUCCGAUCACCGAAGUUAAGCAACGUCGGGCGCAGUUAGUACUUGGAUGGGUGACCGCUUGGGAACAUCGCGUGCCGUUGUCU
rnacentral:rRNA from 1 species